AGUAGUUUGAUCAGUGGCUCGAGGACGAACGCUGGCGGCGUGCUUAACACAUGCAAGUCGAACGGUGACCCAGGGCUUGCCCUGGUGAUCAGUGGCGAACGGGUGAGUAACACGUGGGCAACCUGCCCCUGACUUCGGGAUAACUCCUCGAAAGAGGAGCUAAUACCGGAUACGACCACUUCGGACAUCCGAUGGUGGUGGAAAGUUUUUCGGUCAGGGAUGGGCCCGCGGCCUAUCAGCUAGUUGGUGGGGUAAUGGCCUACCAAGGCGACGACGGGUAGCCGGCCUGAGAGGGCGACCGGCCACACUGGGACUGAGACACGGCCCAGACUCCUACGGGAGGCAGCAGUGGGGAAUAUUGCGCAAUGGGCGAAAGCCUGACGCAGCGACGCCGCGUGAGGGAUGAAGGCCUUCGGGUUGUAAACCUCUUUCAGCAGGGACGAAGCGAAAGUGACGGUACCUGCAGAAGAAGCACCGGCUAACUACGUG
rnacentral:rRNA from 1 species